GACAGAGGUGCCGAGCGUUAGGCGGAAUCACUGGGCUUAAAGCGUGCGCAGGCGGUUUUGUAAGUCUGUCGUGAAAUCCCCGGGCUUAACCUGGGAAUGGCGAUGGAGACUGCAAGGCUAGAGUUUGGCAGAGGGGGGUAGAAUUCCACGUGUAGCAGUGAAAUGCGUAGAGAUGUGGAGGAACACCGAUGGCGAAGGCAGCCCCCUGGGUCAAAACUGACGCUCAUGCACGAAAGCGUGGGGAUCAAACAGG
rnacentral:rRNA from 1 species